UCAAGCUGUAAAGGGCGCAAGGGGAAUGCCUUGGCACUGAGAGCCGACGAAGGACGCGACAAGCUGCGAUAAGCUACGGGGAGCCGCAAAUGGGCUUUGAUCCGUGGAUUUCCGAAUGGGGAAACCCGAUGGAGCAAUACUCCAUCAACCAUGACUGAAUACAUAGGUCAUGGUGGGGAACCGCCUGAACUGAAACAUCUAAGUAGGGCGAGGAAGAGAAAUCAACCGAGAUUCCGCUAGUAGUGGCGAGCGAACGCGGAAGAGGCCAAACCGGAGGUAGCAAUAUUUCCGGGGUUAGGACUGCAAUAUGUAACUUUAAUCUUUAACUGAAUGCUUUGGGAAGAGCAGCGAUAUAGGGUGACAGCCCCGUAAGUGAAAAGGAUUGAGUGCUAGCAGUAUCCAGAGUACCAGCGGACACGUGAAACCCGCUGGGAAGAUGGGGGGACCAUCCUCCAAGCCUAAAUACUACUCAGUGACCGAUAGUGGAGCAGUACCGUGAGGGAAAGGUGAAAAGUACCCCGGGAGGGGAGUGAAAAAGAACCUGAAACCUUGUGCCUACAAGCACCGAGAGCACGUUAAAGUGUGAUCGGGUACUUUUUGUAGAACGGUCCGGCGAGUUAAUAUUUGCAGCGAGGUUAAGGAACUGGAGUUCCGGAGCCGCAGCGAGAGCGAGUCUGAAAAGGGCGUAUGAAGUUGCAGGUAUUAGACCCGAAACCGGGUGACCUAUCCAUGAGCAGGCUGAAGCGGUGGUAAGACACCGUGGAGGGCCGCACCCACGUCUGUUGAAAAAGCCGGGGAUGACUUGUGGAUAGCGGAGAAAUUCCAAUCGAACUCGGAGAUAGCUGGUUCUCCCCGAAAUAGCUUUAGGGCUAGCGUUAUUUUAGAUUACCGGAGGUAAAGCACUGAAUGGUCUAGGGGCCGCGAGGUUACCAAAGCCUAUCAAACUCUGAAUGCCGGAUAAUUGAUGAAUAGCAGUCAGACUGUGUGAGAUAAGUCUCAUAGUCAAAAGGGAAACAGCCCAGAUCUACAGCUAAGGUCCCAAAUGAACACUAAGUGGAAAAUGAUGUGAAACUGCGAAGACAACCAGGAUGUUGGCUUAGAAGCAGCCACUCAUUCAAAGAGUGCGUAAUAGCUCACUGGUCGAGUGGUUUUGCGCAGAAAAUGUAACGGGGCUAAGUGUUCAACCGAAGCUUAGGCAUUGCAGUAAUGCAUUGGGUAGGGGAGCGUCGUAUGCGGGGCGAAGUCAGAGCGGAAGCACUGGUGGACUGCAUACGAGUGAGAAUGCCGGAAUAAGUAGCGAGAAUUAUGUGAGAAUCAUAAUGGCCGAAAAUCUAAGGUUUCUUGGGGAAGGUUCGUCCGCCCAAGGUUAGUCGGGAGCUAAGCUCAGGCCGAAAGGCGUAGGCGAUGCACAUACGGUAGAAAUUCCGUAACCACCGAACAUUUAAGCUAGAGGGACGCUUUCUUUAAGGUUAUCCCGGGCGAUGGUUGCCCCGGGCGUAAGGGACCGAAAUAUAGUAGGGAAGUAACUGGCGAGAGAGACGAGAAAAGCUCUAGUGUAUACUAAGGUGCCCGUACCGCAAACCGACACAGGUAGAUGGGAUGAGUAUUCUAAGGCCAACGGGAGAAGGGUUGUUAAGGAACUCGGCAAAUUGGCCCCGUAACUUCGGGAUAAGGGGCGCCUGCGAGAGCAGGCCGCAGUGAAAAGGCCCAAGCGACUGUUUAGCAAAAACACAGCUCUCUGCUAAAUCGAAAGAUGACGUAUAGGGGGUGACGCCUGCCCGGUGCUGGAAGGUUAAGGGGAGUGCUUAGCGCAAGCGAAGGUGCGAACUUAAGCCCCAGUAAACGGCGGCCGUAACUAUAACGGUCCUAAGGUAGCGAAAUUCCUUGUCAGGUAAGUUCUGACCCGCACGAAUGGCGUAACGAUUUGGGCACUGUCUCAACAGCCCGCCCGGCGAAAUUGUAGUACCGGUGAAGAUGCCGGUUUCCCGCAACUAGACGGAAAGACCCCAUGGAGCUUCACUGUAGCUUGAUAUUGGAUCUCGGUAUUCCAUGUACAGGAUAGGUGGGAGGCUAGGAAGUAAGCGCGCCAGCGUUUAUGGAGCCAACCUUGGGAUACCACUCUUGGGAUAUUGGGAUUCUAACCUGCGACCAUGAAUCUGGUCGGGGGACACUGUCAGGUGGGCAGUUUGACUGGGGCGGUCGCCUCCAAAAGAGUAACGGAGGCGC
rnacentral:rRNA from 1 species